rnacentral:rRNA from 1 species
UACGUAGGGUGCGAGCGUUGUCCGGAAUUAUUGGGCGUAAAGGGCUCGUAGGCGGUCUGCUGCGUCGGGAGUGAAAACUCAGGGCUUAACCCUGAGCCUGCUUCCGAUACGGGCAGACUAGAGGUAUGCAGGGGAGAACGGAAUUCCUGGUGUAGCGGUGAAAUGCGCAGAUAUCAGGAGGAACACCGGUGGCGAAGGCGGUUCUCUGGGCAUUACCUGACGCUGAGGAGCGAAAGUGUGGGGAGCGAACAGG